GUCUAUGGCCAUGCUGCCCUGAACUAGCCGGAUCCCAUCUGAUAGUCUGAUCUCGAAAGCUAAGCAGAGUCGGGCCUGGUUAAUACUUGGAUGGGAGACCACCUAGGAAGACCAGGUCCCGUAGGUG
rnacentral:rRNA from 1 species